AUCAAACAUAACCAAAACUAAUCGUUAGACGACUUGACAUUCAAUUCCUUUCUUUUGUGAUAAAAAACCCAUAUCAAUUGCAAAACGGAAUUAUCUAAUACCUUGCAUGAUUGAUCAGAUGACUUGCGGAGCUUACUGCAAAUGUCGAAAGUGGUGCAGCUGGAAACAGAAGUUUGUUGGUCGUUGCCCAUGAUGCAAGAAGGGCUGUAAACUUGUGCUCUGCUGCAGAAGGAGGUGGCACUAAGCUCCUAGCGACAUGACCGGAUUGUUUCAAGGACAACGACUCGAUUUUCUUUUGUAAAUAUGUUGAAGUCAAAUAUUAAUAAUAAAGCAUCGAAUUCGCAA